rnacentral:sRNA from 1 species
UCUUGUCUUCUAUUGUGCAACGACAUGGC